rnacentral:rRNA from 1 species
AUGGAUGCUGAUGGUAGCCACAUCUGGUCAAGCAACAGCUCGGGCCGGUCUGUAACCGGCAUGGUUAUCAAUGAGUUCGGCAAUCUGGCGUUAGUUGAUCAGAGUAGUGCAACAGUGUGGCAGUCAUUUGAUCAUCCUACCGACACAUUGGUCCAUGGGCAGUCACUUGUGGAAGGUAUGAAGCUCACAGCAAGUACCUCUGUAAGAAAUACGACCGAGAAUCGGCUCUAUAUCACCGUACUCCCACAUGGACUAUAUGCUUAUGUUGAAGCUACACCACCACAACUCUAUUUUUCAUUCUAUUACUCGGUGGCCGAUCACAGGAGACAAAAUGAUUUAACGAGGGUUACAUUCAUGAACAGAAGCCUCACAAUCUUUGUGCGAUCAGAUAGGUACGGUGGUAUCUCAUUGCCAGCAACCAAAUCCAACCAAUACAUGAGACUAGAGUCAGAUGGACACUUGAGGUUGUACGACUGGACUAAUGGAUCAAUUUUGUAUGAAGUAAUGCAGAUAAAUGAUUGUGAUUACCCAACAGUUUGUGGGGAGUACGGCAUAUGUAUCGAGAGCCAAUGUGUUUGCCCAUAUGAGAACUCUUUCUUCAAGCCGGUGGACGAACGACAACCCAAUCUUGGUUGCACACCAUUAACUCCAAUCUCUUGUCAAGAAAAACAAUGGCAUCGGCUAUUGACCCUUUCCUCCAUUUAUUACUUUGAUAAGAACUACACAGUAGUGAAUGCCAAAAGCCUCUCUCAGUGUAAGAAAGCCUGCUUGAAGAACUGCUCUUGCAGGGCCGUUAUCUUCAGUUAUUACCACAACGAUUCAUAUGGAGAAUGUAUGUGGGUGACAAAGGUCUUCUCGUUGCAAUCAAUGCAGCCUGGUGAUGAUGAUGUCUACAGCUCCACUGCUUACCUCAAGGUGCAGAUUGAUGAAAACAAAAAUAAUGUGAUGUUAGGUGCUACACUUGGAGGUAUUAGUGCUCUUCUACUGCUUGCCAUUGUUGUCGGUUUUUAUCUAAAGAGGAGGAAAAAAUAUGAAGAGAAAGAUGAUUUUGAUUUUGAUCAAUUACCUGGCAUGCCGACGAGGUUUUCAUUUGAAAAGAUGAUCGAAUGCACCGAAGGGUUCAUUAAGAAGCUCGGAGAAGGUGGGUUUGGGAUGGUUUUUGAAGGGAAACUGGGUGAAGAUACAGUUGCGGUGUGCUAG